GAUGAACGCUGGCGGCGUGCCUAACACAUGCAAGUCGAGCGAACAGACGAUGAGCUUGUUCCUCUGACGUUAGCGGCUGGCGGGUGAGUAACACGUGUAUCCUCCACUUAUCAUUCUGGUAUCAUUUCGGGAAACCGGAGCUUAUACCGUAUAAUCUAUUGAACCGCAUGGGUCAAUAGUGAAUUUCGGCUUUGCUGUAUCUUCUAGCGGGAUCCGCGCCUCAUUAGCUAGUUGGUAAGGUAACGGCAUACCAAGGCAACGAUGCGUAACCGACCUGAGAGGGUGAUCGGCCACACUGGAACUGAGACACGGUCCAGACUCCUACGGGAGGCAGCAGUAGGGAAUCUUACGCAAUGGGCGAAAGCCUGACACAGCAACACCGCGUGAGUGAUGAAGGCCUUCGGAUCGUAAAGCUCUGUUAUUGGGGAAGAACAAAUGUGGAAUUAGACAUGCAGGUCUUGACGGUACCUAAUCAAGAAGCAACGGCUAACUACGUG
rnacentral:rRNA from 1 species